rnacentral:rRNA from 1 species
GACGUAGGAGGCGAGCGUUAUCCGGAUUCACUGGGCGUAAAGCGCUUGUAGGCGGUUGUGUAAGUCCGAUGUUAAAGCCCCUGGCUCAACUGGGGGAGGUCAUUGGAGACUACUCGACUUGAGGGCAACAGAGGCACGUGGAACUCCCGGUGUAGCGGUGGAAUGCGUAGAGAUCGGGAAGGACACCAGUGGCGAAGGCGACGUGCUGGGUUGCGACUGACGCUGAGAUGCGAAAGUGUGGGGAGCAAACGGG